UACGGAAGGCAGCAGGGGGAAUAUUGCACAAUGGGCGAAAGCCUGAUGCAGCUAUGCCGCGUGUAUGAAGAAGGCCUUAGGGUUGUAAAGUACUUUCAUCGGGGAGGAAAAACAAAACUAAUAAUUUUAUUUCUUGACGUUACCCGAAAAAGAAGCACCGGCUAACUCCGUGCCAGCAGCCGCGGUAAUACGGAGGGUGCUAGCGUUAAUCAGAAUUACUGGGCGUAAAGAGCACGUAGGUGGUUUUUUUAAGUCAGAUGUGAAAUCCCUGGGCUUAACCUAGGAACUGCAUUUUGAAACUGAAAUACUAGAGUAUCGUAGAGGGAGGUAGAAUUCUAGGUGUAGCGGUGAAAUGCGUAGAUAUCUGGAGGAAUACCUGUGGCGAAAGCGGCCUCCUAAACGAAUACUGACACUGAGGUGCGAAAGCGUGGGGAGCAAACAGGGGUUAGAUACC
rnacentral:rRNA from 1 species